rnacentral:rRNA from 1 species
UACGAAGGGGGCUAGCGUUGCUCGGAAUGACUGGGCGUAAAGGGCGCGUAGGCGGUUUGGACAGUCAGAUGUGAAAUUCCUGGGCUCAACCUGGGGGCUGCAUUUGAUACGUUCGGACUAGAGUGGGGAAGAGGGUCGUGGAAUUCCCAGUGUAGAGGUGAAAUUCGUAGAUAUUGGGAAGAACACCGGUGGCGAAGGCGGCGACCUGGUCCUUGACUGACGCUGAGGCGCGAAAGUGUGGGGAGCAAACAGG